AUACGGAGGGUGCAAGCGUUAAUCGGAAUUACUGGGCGUAAAGCGCACGCAGGCGGUCAAUUAAGUCAGAUGUGAAAGCCCCGAGCUUAACUUGGGAAUUGCAUCUGAAACUGGUUGGCUAGAGUCUUGUAGAGGGGGGUAGAAUUCCACGUGUAGCGGUGAAAUGCGUAGAGAUGUGGAGGAAUACCGGUGGCGAAGGCGGCCCCCUGGACAAAGACUGACGCUCAGGUGCGAAAGCGUGGGGAGCAAACAGGAUUAGAUACCCUGGUAGUCCACGCUGUAAACGAUGUUGAUUUAGAGGUUGUGGUCUUGAACUGUGGCUUCUGGAGCUAACGCGUUAAAUCGACCGCCUGGGGAGUACGGCCGCAAGGUUAAAACUCAAAUGAAUUGGCGGG
rnacentral:rRNA from 1 species